rnacentral:rRNA from 1 species
CCCUUAGAUGUUCUGGGCCGCACGCGCGCUACACUGAUGCAUUCAACGAGUCUAAAACCUGCUCUGAUAGGGGUGGGUAAUCUUUUGAAUGUGCAUCGUGAUUGGGAUAGAUGAUUGCAAUUUUUCAUCUUCAACGAGCAAUGCCUAGUAAACGCAAGUCAUCAGCUUGCAUUGAUUACGUCCCUGCCCUUUGUACACACCGCCCGUCGCUCCUACCGAUUGAAUGAUCCGAUGAAUAUCAUGGAUUGAGGAUGCAAGUAGGUUAGCCUAUCUUCAUCUUCGAGAAGUGAAGUAAAUCUUAUCAUUUAGAGGAAGGAGAAGUCGUAACA